AGAUUCCUAAGUUUGCGGCUGUGACGUCUGUCACCCCACUGAUCGCCAGAGUUGAUUGGGCAGAUCUGGCUCGCUAGGCAGGUGUCCCCUUCUCCCUCACAGCUCCAUGUGUGUCCCUCUGGAAGCUGCAUGCUGGGUGGAAAAGGAUGACCACCCCCAUAUAGGAGGACCUUUCUUCCAUUAAGGGUGUAUGAGUAGCUGUGCUCCCCUGCUAGAACCUCUCAAGAUUUUUGCCUUUUGAUCAGCAAAUAAUUUAUUUGUUAAGACAAUUGCUGCCUUCUAGG
rnacentral:sRNA from 1 species